CACCCUCCAACAUAACUAAGUAUAUUGCCCAAAGACUUUUAGAUGCUCCGUUGUAUUUCAUUCGAGCGCCUCUUCCAAAUGAAAGGAUAGUCCUUCCUUACCCUCCCCCUCCGGGUUUGGUAGAUCCCCAAGGGGGUCGUCGCAUAGUGUUUUUCUUGAAGCAGAGAGAAUUCGGUCUACCGUUUCCUUUUACCCCUUUCUUUAUCGAGGUCUUUGAAUACUUCGGGGUAACUCCUCGGAUGUUAUCCCCAAAUUCCAUUUUGUUCAUGUCCUGUUUUGAGUCUAUCUGCCUGAGUUGGGGUUUUACACCCACGGCCUGUCUGUUUGUCACUUUUUUCCGUCUGGUUAGGG
rnacentral:lncRNA from 1 species